rnacentral:rRNA from 1 species
GCCGGUUUCCCUAGAUGAUCUUCACCGGUUGUCCUGGGUGACCGGCACGUUUACUUUGAAAAAAUUAGAGUGCUCAAAGCAGGCGUGUAGCCUGAAUAAUGGUGCAUGGAAUAAUGGAAUAGGACUUCGUUUCUAUUUUGUUGGUUUUCGGAACACGAGGUAAUGAUUAAGAGGGACAGACGGGGGCAUUCGUAUUGCGACGCUAGAGGUGAAAUUCUUGGACCGUCGCAAGACGAACUACUGCGAAAGCAUUUGCCAAGAAUGUUUUCAUUGAUCAAGAACGAAAGUUAGAGGUUCGAAGGCGAUCAGAUACCGCCCUAGUUCUAACCAUAAACGAUGCCAACCAGCGAUCCGCCUGAGUUCCUCAAAUGACUCGGCGGGCAGCUUCCGGGAAACCAAAGUGUUUGGGUUCCGGGGGAAGUAUGGUUGCAAAGCUGAAACUUAAAGGAAUUGACGGAAGGGCACCACCAGGAGUGGAGCCUGCGGCUUAAUUUGACUCAACACGGGAAAACUUACCCGGCCCGGACACUGGAAGGAUUGACAGAUUAAGAGCUCUUUCUUGAUUCAGUGGGUGGUGGUGCAUGGCCGUUCUUAGUUGGUGGAGCGAUUUGUCUGGUUAAUUCCGAUAACGAACGAGACUCUAGCCUACUAAAUAGGCGUCCCGAUCACUUUUGUCGGGCGUUCUUCUUAGAGGGACAAGUGGCGUUUAGCCGCACGAGACAGAGCAAUAACAGGUCUGUGAUGCCCUUAGAUGUCCGGGGCCGCACGCGCGCUACACUGAAGGAAUCAGCGUGUGCUUUCCCUGUCCGGKAGGACUGGGUAACCCGUUCAACCUCCUUCGUGAUAGGGAUAGGGGCUUGUAAUUGUUCCCCUUGAACGAGGAAUUCCCAGUAAGCACGAGUCAUAAGCUCGUGUUGAUUACGUCCCUGCCCUUUGUACACACCGCCCGUCGCUACUACCGAUUGAAUGAUUUAGUGAGGUCUUCGGACUGGCGCUCGGAGCGGCCGCAAGGUCGCGCCGG